rnacentral:rRNA from 1 species
GAUGAACGCUGGCGGCGUGCCUAACACAUGCAAGUCGAGCGAGGGUUUGCUCGGUAUUGAGUAUUCUAAGACUAGAAUGUUCAAUUCUGAGCAAAACCAAGCGGCGGACGGGUGAGUAACGCGUGGGUAACCUGCCCUAUACACAUGGAUAACAUACUGAAAAGUUUACUAAUACAUGAUAAUAUAUAUUUGCGGCAUCGCAGAUAUAUCAAAGUGUUAGCGGUAUAGGAUGGACCCGCGUCUGAUUAGCUAGUUGGUGAGAUAACUGCCCACCAAGGCGACGAUCAGUAGCCGACCUGAGAGGGUGAUCGGCCACAUUGGAACUGAGACACGGUCCAAACUCCUACGGGAGGCAGCAGUGGGGAAUAUUGCACAAUGGGCGAAAGCCUGAUGCAGCAACGCCGCGUGAACGAUGAAGGUCUUCGGAUCGUAAAGUUCUGUUGCAGGGGAAGAUAAUGACGGUACCCUGUGAGGAAGCCCCGGCUAACUACGUGCCAGCAGCCGCGGUAAUACGUAGGGGGCUAGCGUUAUCCGGAUUUACUGGGCGUAAAGGGUGCGUAGGUGGUCCUUCAAGUCGGUGGUUAAAGGCUGCGGCUCAACCGUAGUAAGCCGCCGAAACUGGAGGACUUGAGUGCAGGAGAGGAAAGUGGAAUUCCCAGUGUAGCGGUGAAAUGCGUAGAUAUUGGGAGGAACACCAGUAGCGAAUGCGGCUUUCUGGACUGCAACUGACACUGAGGCACGAAAGCGUGGGUAGCAAACAGG